CUGCUGUAGACUUUUAGCUUCUUCAUUUUUUUUUUUCCUUUAAAUAGAACCAAUUAACUCUUACUUGAAUUUUCCAAAUACAUGAGGUUUCACUACCAUUUUGGAGGAAUGGAGCCAGCGUUUUGAUUGUCACACAUAGACUUUCACUAAUGUAUUUUUCCUCAAAGGCAACUAGAUAUUCAUGUUACUAUUGCUUUUCCUUAGAAACAGAAGUCUCCCGAUCAUAAUUACAGGCUUUGAGCAAAGGCAACAGUAGUGAAGAAACCCGGAGCUCUGUAAACAUUACUGAAGAACCAUGCCAAAUAUAUGCAUAAAUUCAGGUGGCUUAUUAUUACAUCUUGAAAGGACUGGAUAUCUGAGCACUGUCUGACAUUACUUUUGACUUCACUGGAGGUAACCUAGAAGGAGAGAGAUGUCUCAGCAGUUUCUUUAUCAAUCGCCACCUUUGGAUUUAGCCUUCUGUGGUCAUUUUGAAUAGCAAGCAUCUGAGACAGCAAAGGUGGGCGCAACUGCCAAAACCACAACCCACGGUCAAAAGGAUCGUCAUCCAUUUGGGGUGCUGACACCUAGUUUCUGAUCUGGCUUGCCUAGCUUUCUCCUACUGCACCCACUCCAGGCUGGGACAGAAGAGACUGCACCUAGCAGCUUGUGCUUCCACGGUGACGUCAAAUGUGAAAGAACCAAUCCUGCUACAAAGAGGGUGUGGUGGAAAAAAUGUCUAUGCUCCCAAGGCUUGCCUGAGGGCAGAACAAGUGUUCCAGUUUCCCUCUUUUCCACUGCUUUUCCCUCUCUCCUAGUUCUCCCUCGCCCCCUUAGGUAAGACUCCUUUGCCUAUGCACCCCUGCAAACAUAGUGGUUCUUAGGCGUAAGUGUACAUGAGGCAUCUUUUUCAAAAUACAGAUUGCUAGGGCUCACCUUCCAGAAGCAGUGAUUCUGCAGGUCUGACUGGGUUGCAGGAAUUUGCAUUUUGAACAAGCUUCUGAGUGCAGAUGGUUGGUAGAAUGCACUUUGAGAGACGCUGGCAUAGAGGUAGUUUCAUACUAAUAAAUUAAGUGCUAGAGCUUAGAAACAAGUAAAACUAAGCCCAAAAGAUUUGCUAAAUACAGUACAAAAUUCAAUGUCUUACCAAUUAGAAGUGCACAUAAUCAAAUUAAACAGCAGGAAUGCUUCUGAGAGAUUAGUACUUCUAACAUUCUCCAUUAAGAAUAAAGGGCAUAUGAAGAUGUAUAUGCCUGUAUAUGUAACUAAUGGGUAAGGAAGAUGAUAACUAGGUUCACGAGAAGGGGCUGUGAAUGUGUUAGUGUUUAUUGACAUAAACUGAACAAGAAUUUUCUUACUUGAUGCUGCUUAUUGUCCAAAAUUUAUGUUUUCUGAGUGGCACAUCAUUAAUAGGCCCAAAAUGGGAAUUUACUUUUCAAAUAAUUUAUUCCUGUAGGGGCCAGAAGAAGAAAAAUUCUUCUUCCCUCUAUGAAAGAUUGCUAAAAAUCAACUGACAAAAGGCAAAUUAAUAGGAGAAAAGACACAAAAAUUAAUUUAAUCACAAUUUUAUGUGAUAUGGGAACCUUUAGAAUGAAGACCCAAAGAUACAAGGGAAACCGUCCAUUUUUAUGGUUAGAUUCAACAAAGUAUGGGCAGCCAUGUAGAAAUUUGACUGGACAAAAAGGAUGUGAUGUAAUGCUAAGAGGCUGAGUGGGGAAACCCAGCAAAGCCUGUCUGUUUAGAUUCUUCUUGUUCUGUCUGUGCAACAUUUUGGGUAUGGGGCAGUACCCUCUCUGGAAUGGGGGUCUUAUGACCUACAAUCAAACAUGUUUGGCCCAAUAACUUCUUUAUGGCUAGUUUACACAGAAAGGUGGGGGAAAGUAUUUUUGGAGUAUUAUUUUAAGUUUUAUGGCUGGCUUUGGGAAAAAAGGUUUCUGGUUUCUAAGAACUGCUUUGGGAAAGAGGGAUUCUAGUUUCUAUGCCUAGCCUCAGGGAAGAAUGCAGGGACAGAGACAGGAGGGCAGGAGAAGGUCAGAGAGCUGUUUCUGAGGCCUUCAUUUUAGGAUAUUGUUUUCUGAUUCUUAACAGUUCCAAGUGCUGAUAGUUUCUAGAAAAGACUUUGUUUAAGUAAAAAUUGGUAGAACAUGAAGUUGGAACUCAUUUAAAUACUCCAUGGGCUCAUUUUGUGAUUGCUGAAUGUUUUGUAUUUUUUUUUAAUCUUUAUUAAAAUUCUACCUAAGGUGUCUGGAAUGUGACUCUUACCUUGUGAUCUAUAUGAGCUCCACCAACAUGUAUUUCCAACGUAGUAUAGGAUCUGGUUCUUCACGGUGAUAAUAACCACAAGAAGUCUUUUCCAUUUAACAGCGCACUGCUUCUUCUUUGACAAUUUGUUUCAAAGAUGUUAAGAAGAAGAUGGUAGAUUCAAACCUUUUAUGUGUCAAAUGGAAUGGGUUUGCAUAUUCUCCAUUUUAAAACCUCAAGAUUUUUAGUAUUUUUCAAGGAACGUAAAAAAAUC
rnacentral:lncRNA from 1 species